rnacentral:rRNA from 1 species
GACGAACGCUGGCGGCGCGCUUAACACAUGCAAGUCGAGCGAUGAAACUUUAACAGAACCCUCCGGGGCGAAGCUAAAGUGGAAUAGCGGCGGACGGGUGAGUAACACGUGAGAAACCUGCCUUAGACAUUGGUAUAGCCUCGGGAAACCGGGAUUAAUACCAAAUAAAAUCAUAAUGACACAUGUCGUAACGAUAAAAACUCCGGUGGUCUAAGAUGGACUCGCGUCCCAUUAGCUAGUUGGUAGAGUAAAGGCCUACCAAGGCGACGAUGGGUAGCCGGGCUGAGAGGGUGACCGGCCACAUUGGAACUGAGAAACGGUCCAAACUCCUACGGGAGGCAGCAGUGGGGAAUAUUGCACAAUGGGGGGAACCCUGAUGCAGCGACGCCGCGUGAACGAAGAAGUAUUUCGAGACGUAAAGUUCUAUUAUAUGGGAAGAAAAUGACGGUACCUUAAGAAAAAGCCCCGGCUAACUACGUG